rnacentral:rRNA from 1 species
CUGGGAGGACCAUCUCCUAAGGCUAAAUACUCUCUAGUGACCGAUAGUGAACCAGUACCGUGAGGGAAAGGUGAAAAGCACCCCGGAAGGGGAGUGAAAUAGAACCUGAAACCGUGUGCUUACAAGUAGUCAGAGCCCGUUAAUGGGUGAUGGCGUGCCUUUUGUAGAAUGAACCGGCGAGUUACGAUUUGAUGCAAGGUUAAGCAGUAAAUGUGGAGCCGUAGCGAAAGCGAGUCUGAAUAGGGCGUUUAGUAUUUGGUCGUAGACCCGAAACCAGGUGAUCUACCCUUGGUCAGGUUGAAGUUCAGGUAACACUGAAUGGAGGACCGAACCGACUUACGUUGAAAAGUGAGCGGAUGAACUGAGGGUAGCGGAGAAAUUCCAAUCGAACCUGGAGAUAGCUGGUUCUCUCCGAAAUAGCUUUAGGGCUAGCCUCAAGUGAUGAUUAUUGGAGGUAGAGCACUGUUUGGACGAGGGGCCCCUCUCGGGUUACCGAAUUCAGACAAACUCCGAAUGCCAAUUAAUUUAACUUGGGAGUCAGAACAUGGGUGAUAAGGUCCGUGUUCGAAAGGGAAACAGCCCAGACCACCAGCUAAGGUCCCAAAAUAUAUGUUAAGUGGAAAAGGAUGUGGCGUUGCCCAGACAACUAGGAUGUUGGCUUAGAAGCAGCCAUCAUUUAAAGAGUGCGUAAUAGCUCACUAGUCGAGUGACACUGCGCCGAAAAUGUACCGGGGCUAAACAUAUUACCGAAGCUGUGGAUUGUCCUUUGGACAAUGGUAGGAGAGCGUUCUAAGGGCGUUGAAGCAUGAUCGUAAGGACAUGUGGAGCGCUUAGAAGUGAGAAUGCCGGUGUGAGUAGCGAAAGACGGGUGAGAAUCCCGUCCACCGAUUGACUAAGGUUUCCAGAGGAAGGCUCGUCCGCUCUGGGUUAGUCGGGUCCUAAGCUGAGGCCGACAGGCGUAGGCGAUGGAUAACAGGUUGAUAUUCCUGUACCACCUAUAAUCGUUUUAAUCGAUGGGGGGACGCAGUAGGAUAGGCGAAGCGUGCGAUUGGAUUGCACGUCUAAGCAGUAAGGCUGAGUAUUAGGCAAAUCCGGUACUCGUUAAGGCUGAGCUGUGAUGGGGAGAAGACAUUGUGUCUUCGAGUCGUUGAUUUCACACUGCCGAGAAAAGCCUCUAGAUAGAAAAUAGGUGCCCGUACCGCAAACCGACACAGGUAGUCAAGAUGAGAAUUCUAAGGUGAGCGAGCGAACUCUCGUUAAGGAACUCGGCAAAAUGACCCCGUAACUUCGGGAGAAGGGGUGCUCUUUAGGGUUAACGCCCAGAAGAGCCGCAGUGAAUAGGCCCAAGCGACUGUUUAUCAAAAACACAGGUCUCUGCUAAACCGUAAGGUGAUGUAUAGGGGCUGACGCCUGCCCGGUGCUGGAAGGUUAAGAGGAGUGGUUAGCUUCUGCGAAGCUACGAAUCGAAGCCCCAGUAAACGGCGGCCGUAACUAUAACGGUCCUAAGGUAGCGAAAUUCCUUGUCGGGUAAGUUCCGACCCGCACGAAAGGCGUAACGAUUUGGGCACUGUCUCAACGAGAGACUCGGUGAAAUCAUAGUACCUGUGAAGAUGCAGGUUACCCGCGACAGGACGGAAAGACCCCGUGGAGCUUUACUGUAGCCUGAUAUUGAAAUUCGGCACAGCUUGUACAGGAUAGGUAGGAGCCUUUGAAACGUGAGCGCUAGCUUACGUGGAGGCGCUGGUGGGAUACUACCCUAGCUGUGUUGG